UACGGGGGGUGCGAGCGUUGUCCGGAAUCACUGGGCGUAAAGGGCGCGUAGGUGGUUUGAUAAGGGUGUGGUGAAAGCCCGGGGCUCAACCCCGGGUCUGCCGUGCCGACUGUCAAACUCGAGGGCUGUAGAGGCAGACGGAAUUCCGGGUGUAGCGGUGGAAUGCGUAGAGAUCCGGAGGAAGACCGGUGGCGAAGGCGGUCUGCUGGGCAGUAGCUGACACUGAGGCGCGACAGCGUGGGGAGCAAACAGG
rnacentral:rRNA from 1 species